UACGGGGGGUGCAAGCGUUGUUCGGAAUUACUGGGCGUAAAGGGCUCGUAGGCGGCCAACUAAGUCAGACGUGAAAUCCCUCGGCUUAACCGGGGAACUGCGUCUGAUACUGGAUGGCUUGAGUUUGGGAGAGGGAUGCGGAAUUCCAGGUGUAGCGGUGAAAUGCGUAGAUAUCUGGAGGAACACCGGUGGCGAAGGCGGCAUCCUGGACCAACACUGACGCUGAGUGAGCGAAAGCCAGGGGAGCAAACGGG
rnacentral:rRNA from 1 species